rnacentral:rRNA from 1 species
CAGCUAGUUGGUGGGGUAACGGCUCACCAAGGCAACGAUCAGUAUCCGGCCUGAGAGGGCGGACGGACACACUGGGACUGAGACACGGCCCAGACUCCUACGGGAGGCAGCAGUGGGGAAUUGUUCGCAAUGGGCGCAGGCCUGACGACGCAACGCCGCGUGGAGGAUGAAGACCUUCGGGUCGUAAACUCCUUUCGAUCGAGACGAACGACUUCCGGGUGAACAAUCCGGAAGAGUGACGGUACCGAGAGAAGAAGCCCCGGCUAACUCCGUGCCAGCAGCCGCGGUAAUACGGGGGGGGCAAGCGUUGUUCGGAAUUACUGGGCGUAAAGGGCUCGUAGGCGGCCAACUAAGUCAAACGUGAAAUCCCUCGGCUUAACCGGGGAACUGCGCUUGAUACUGGAUGGCUUGAGAUUGGGAGAGGGAUGCGGAAUUCCAGGUGUAGCGGUGAAAUGCGUAGAUAUCUGGAGGAACACCGGUGGCGAAGGCGGCAUCCUGGACCAACACUGACGCUGAGGAGCGAAAGCCAGGGGAGCAAACGGGAUUAGAU